GACGAACGCUGGCGGCGUGCUUAACACAUGCAAGUCGAACGGAAAGGCCCUGCUUUUGUGGGGUGCUCGAGUGGCGAACGGGUGAGUAACACGUGAGUAACCUGCCCCUGACUUUGGGAUAACUUCAGGAAACUGGGGCUAAUACCGGAUAGGAGCUCCUGCUGCAUGGUGGGGGUUGGAAAGUUUCGGCGGUUGGGGAUGGACUCGCGGCUUAUCAGCUUAUUGGUGGGGUAGUGGCUUACCAAGGCUUUGACGGGUAGCCGGCCUGAGAGGGUGACCGGCCACAUUGGGACUGAGAUACGGCCCAGACUCCUACGGGAGGCAGCAGUGGGGAAUAUUGCACAAUGGGCGGAAGCCUGAUGCAGCAACGCCGCGUGCGGGAUGACGGCCUUCGGGUUGUAAACCGCUUUCGCCUGUGACGAAGCGUGAGUGACGGUAAUGGGUAAAGAAGCACCGGCUAACUACGUG
rnacentral:rRNA from 1 species